CCUACGGGUGGCAGCAGUGGGGAAUAUUGGACAAUGGGCGAAAGCCUGAUCCAGCCAUGCCGCGUGUGUGAAGAAGGCCUUCGGGUUGUAAAGCACUUUCAGUGGGGAAGAAAGCCUUGGGGCUAAUACCCUCGAGGAAGGACAUCACCCACAGAAGAAGCACCGGCUAACUCCGUGCCAGCAGCCGCGGUAAUACGGAGGGUGCGGGCGUUAAUCGGAAUUACUGGGCGUAAAGCGCGCGUAGGCGGUCUGAUAAGCCGGUUGUGAAAGCCCCGGGCUCAACCUGGGAACGGCAUCCGGAACUGUCAGGCUAGAGUGCAGGAGAGGAAGGUAGAAUUCCCGGUGUAGCGGUGAAAUGCGUAGAGAUCGGGAGGAAUACCAGUGGCGAAGGCGGCCUUCUGGACUGACACUGACGCUGAGGUGCGAAAGCGUGGGUAGCAAACAGGAUUAGAUACCCUAGUAGUC
rnacentral:rRNA from 1 species